GACGAACGCUGGCGGCGUGCUUAACACAUGCAAGUCGAACGGAAAGGCCCUGCUUUUGUGGGGUGCUCGAGUGGCGAACGGGUGAGUAACACGUGAGUAACCUGCCCUUGACUUUGGGAUAACUUCAGGAAACUGGGGCUAAUACCGGAUAGGAGCUCCUGCUGCAUGGUGGGGGUUGGAAAGUUUCGGCGGUUGGGGAUGGACUCGCGGCUUAUCAGCUUGUUGGUGGGGUAGUGGCUUACCAAGGCUUUGACGGGUAGCCGGCCUGAGAGGGUGACCGGCCACAUUGGGACUAAGAUACGGCCCAGACUCCUACGGGAGGCAGCAGUGGAGAAUAUGGCACAAUGGGGGGAAGCCUGAUGCAGCAACGCCGCGUGCGGGAUGACGGCCUUCGGGUUGUAAACCGCUGUCGCCUGUGACGAAGCGUGAGUGACGGUAAUGGGUAAAGAAGCACCGGCUAACUACGUG
rnacentral:rRNA from 1 species